AGUACGGUCAGGGCGCGUGGCGCGAGACCGGCCGUUUUGAGCGUUGCCCGGGGAGUGCGGGCUGGCAGCCUACGCGGGGUUGUCAUGGGCGGGGAGGUGGGAACCGCUCGUUCUCAGCGACCCUGCCCGAGUCUGCAGAGAGCCUGGACCCAUAGCCCUGGGGCUGGCUCCGCAGUGAUGCUGCAGCAACGCUGCCUGAGCUUGCUAAGAGCCUGCACCAAUAGCCCCCAUAGACUACUGACCCCUCAGUAACCUAUACAGCGGCGCUGCCUAAGCCUGCCCCAUAGCACCAGGGAGGCUGGCCCUAGAGCGGCUGGUACAACGACACUGCUUGAGCCUGCAGAAGUGACCAACAGAGCAAUGCUGCCUGAGUCUGCAGAGAGCCUUCGCAGGCUGCCCCAGUAAAGGGGAGUUAGCCCAGAGUGACCGAUACAAGAACCUGCACCAGUAGCCCCAAGCGAGUGGCCUGACCCUAGGGUGACCAACACAGCGACCCUGCCUGAGUCUGCAGAGAGCCUGGACCAAUGGCCCCAAGAGAGUGGACUGACCCCAGAAUGGCCCAACGCAGCGACACUGCUUGAAUCUGUACAGACUUAUAGCAUCAGAGGAGGGGACUGACCCCAUCUGCAGAGAGCCAGGACCAAGAGGCCUGACAGGGAGGGGAAUGACCCCAUCCUAACUGACGGUGCAAUAUUUGCACAAGUCUGCAGAGCCUGGAAUGAUAGCUUUGAGAGGGAACUGCCCUGUGCAUCUCUGCAGAUUGUUAAUACCACGGCUAAAGACAAUGACACUGAUAUCUAUCUCCUUGCUGAUCACAGCCUGAAGAAGAGGGAUGAGCAUAUUACCAAUAGCUCCACAGUCUGCUGUAGGAGGUGGUUCUCUUUCUAGCCACAAAUGGGUAUUGCUUCAGUCAGGGCCACCUCUCUGAUCCCAUAGUGCAGGGGCGGGCAAACUUUUUGGCCUGAGGGCUGCAUCAGGUUUUGUAAA